UCGGCAUCACUGGUGCUGGAUCUGGCAUUGCUGUGUCUCUUCUGUUGGCACACACAGCAAAGAGAAAAAAAGCGGAGAGAAUAAGCGUCAUCAGCUCAAUUUCACUCGAUCGAACUGUCUUUUCCAGGGAGGGCGCUGGACCUUGCGAGGCGCGGUGGAAACAUCACAAUUGUAUGUAAGAAUGGGCUGUGAACCCUGAGCUUGGUAAGAGAGCCGACGAAUCCGAAUCCUACGUUUGCCAUCUUUGUUGAGUCUGAUGUCUGCGAUCCAGAGCAAGUCGCAAAGGCAUUCAAGGAGCACAAGGAGACGUUCUUGAGACUGGAUGUGUGCGUCAACUGUGCAGGGAUCGUCGAGGAGAGGGACUUCGUGAGCGAUGACAAAUGGUGUAAGGUCUUGAGGGUAGGGUGAACCUCAUGGCAGCCAUCAAAUGCACAAGCCAAGCAGUAAUUUCCGCUGAUACCUUUAAAACACUUGAACAGAUCCAAGCUAUGAGGUCCCAAGACAGUCCUGGAGUAGCCAUCUUGAAUCUCGCUUCGACUGGCGGACUCUUUCUUGUCCUUUUGUAUCCGAUCUACUCGGCAUCCAAGGGUGGACUGGGUUCACAAGGUCGCUUGUGGAACUACAGAGCGAAGGCAUAUGAGCAAACUUUCUGUAUCCCUGGGUUUGGAGUUCAUCCUUUUUUCUUUCUUUUGCAGGAUCAUAAGCGAACUAUUGCUGAUUCAGUACGUUGAAACGCCCAUGACUGCAAAGGAGAUGAUCGCUGCAACUAUACCAAUGAAAAAUCCAGUAUACAAAUUUCUUCUCA